rnacentral:rRNA from 1 species
AUUGAACGCUGGCGGCAGGCCUAACACAUGCAAGUCGAACGGUAACAGGAAACAGCUUGCUGUUUCGCUGACGAGUGGCGGACGGGUGAGUAAUGUCUGGGAAACUGCCUGAUGGAGGGGGAUAACUACUGGAAACGGUAGCUAAUACCGCAUAACGUCGCAAGACCAAAGAGGGGGACCUUCGGGCCUCUUGCCAUCGGAUGUGCCCAGAUGGGAUUAGCUAGUAGGUGGGGUAACGGCUCACCUAGGCGACGAUCCCUAGCUGGUCUGAGAGGAUGACCAGCCACACUGGACCUGGGACACGGUCCAGACUCCUACGGGAGGCAGCAGUGGGGAAUAUUGCACAAUGGGCGCAAGCCUGAUGCAGCCAUGCCGCGUGUAUGAAGAAGGCCUUCGGGUUGUAAAGUACUUUCAGCGGGGAGGAAGGGAGUAAAGUUAAUACCUUUGCUCAUUGACGUUACCCGCAGAAGAAGCACCGGCUAACUCCGUGCCAGCCGCCGCCGUAAAAC